rnacentral:lncRNA from 1 species
AAUCUUAUAUAAGACUGAGCAACAAGCUAUAGGCCUAAACUCCUUCACUGUUUGAGGAUUAGGAACCUUAGGUAACAAAGUGAGAGUUGCACAAUUAGUUGGUCUAUGCAUUUUGGAAGUAUGAAAGAAAUUUGACUGCUAACAUCACCUGAUUACCAAUAAUAUGCCAAGACUGAUUGAAGAACAUGGCAUUAAAACCAUCAAUGCCUGGAGCUUU